GGAUGUAGCAGGCCUUAGGCAAAGAUUUGAAGUUUCCACGUCUCCAAAAGAAUCACUUGGCUUUGGACUGAGAAGCGGGAAGCACGUAUCACCUGCUGGCCAGACACGGACUGUGCGGGUCGGCUCCAUGGAAAACAGAACCCUAGAGAGAGAAAAUGCUGGCGAGAACGCGUCUGAGAAGCAGAACAGGGCUUCAAGUCAUGUUGGUGAAGAGACGCAAACUCCCAAACAUGCUAUCAACAGAGCGUACCGGGACAUGACACCUCCUACUGCAAAUCCAACGGGGGAGGAAGACGAGGGAGUCCAGGUAGGGACUAGUUAUAUAGUAUAAAUAUUCAAACUGCUGUGCGGAUGCCCAGUGGCCUAAAGUC